UACGAAGGGGGCUAGCGUUGCUCGGAAUCACUGGGCGUAAAGGGUGCGUAGGCGGGUCUUUUAAGUCAGGGGUGAAAUCCUGGAGCUCAACUCCAGAACUGCCUUUGAUACUGAGGAUCUUGAGUUCGGGAGAGGUGAGUGGAACUGCGAGUGUAGAGGCGAAAUUCGUAGAUAUUCGCAAGAACACCAGUGGCGAAGGCGGCUCACUGGCCCGAUACUGACGCUGAGGCACGAAAGCGUGGGGAGCAAACAGG
rnacentral:rRNA from 1 species